GAAAUGACCCCUCGUAUUUUCAUGACUCUAAUGUUUGCUCAUGAAAUGUAAGGGUUGCUACAUUAUUCAAAACUUUUAUAACUAAUUGGGCACCUUGUGUAUAUAUUGGAAAAUUAGAACAAACCAAAGUCAAUUUAAUCAUUAUUCAUUUCCUUGUCUUUUAUAAAGUCUCAAUCAUUAAUAGAAAAGUUAACAGAUGGGUUCCUGCAAGUUUUUGAUCCUUCUGGCCGUGGUUUAUAUACUACUGCUACGCAUGACUGUUAAUGCCAAAGGGAGCUUUUUUCACCGUUAUAGAGUGGUUGCAUUGCAGAUAAAAUUUGUAGAGAGGUGGAAUGUGGAAAAGGAAAGUGUGGGGCUACAUCCACUCACAAAAACCCAUUUAGUGUAUUCUGUGAAUGUGAGCCUGGAUGGCAGCAAAUCAAAGUGGACCCUGAUUAUUCAAACAAGUUUCCUCCAUUACCAUGUGUCAUUCCCGAAUGCACCAUUAAUGAUGAUUGCAAGCAAGCUUUGCCUCUAGUUCCAGAAAAAGAUUUUCAAAUUCCACACAACAUGUCACAUUCUGACCCUUGCUAUUUGGCUUUUUGUGGGGAAGGUACCUGCAUCAAGAACAGCAAAAAACAAAAACAUAAUUACAAAUACAGAUGCGAAUGCAAACCCAAUUAUUUCAAUCUUCUAAACAUGUCUGGUUUGCCUUGUUACAAUAAAUGUAGCCUUGGAUCUGAUUGUUCGAAGCUUGGAAUUAAAAUUGUGAAUUCAAUAGCUGACAAUUCAGUUCUUUCCAUAGCAAGCUCAACCCGGGCCAAGAAGGUUCCAUUGGAUAUUUAGUAUAUGGGAGAAAAAAUUGUCAAGAGAAAAGAAAGGAGAAAUAAAGGAGAAAGAAGCAUGUUUAAUUUUUUAAAGAACAAACAUAUCCUCUUAUCCUAAAAACUAAUGUACUUUAUAAUUACUGAAUAGAAUUACUUAUCAAAUUACUGGUACUUUGUUAUUUUAAUCUAGUUACUAGCCGAUUAGUCGCCAGACAAAAAAUUCAUAGUUCAAACUUAGAAGAUGAUCUUUCACUAAUCAAUUAUAUCAUUAAUUGAUACUGUAUUUUUUCAAUAUCUUCUAAAUUAAAAUUUGAACAAAAGUAUAAUACAUCAAUUUUAAUUUACCGUAUAAACCAUAAAUAGAACAAAUGAUUGUCGAUAGUUAAUUGUAUAAUGAAUUGACCAAUGAAAUCACAUGUACAUGUGUACAUAGCUUUGUCCAAAUUUUUAUGUAGAAGAAAAUAUUUGGCAAUUCAAUCAAUAAAAAGAUACAUAUGUAUUUCAUUAGUUUUGUAUACAUUAAAAUUUGAACAAAGUUAUGAUACACCCGUAAUACGAUUUCGUCGGUCAAUUUGUUACACAAUUGACUAUCGACAAUCAUUUGUUCCAUUCAUUGGUAUCAUACUUAUGAAAUUAGCAUGAUAUUGUAAACCCUUGAACUUUUUGGGUGCAAAUUUUGAAGUCCAAAAUACCAUUGCAAGACCGAUAUAAUUCAUAUUAUUGGUCAUAAGGCGAACUGCUCCUAUAUAUGGUGAGGUAUUGUCUAUGUUUGGGAAGAUAUUCUGAAAGGCUUCCAUUGGAAUAUUGGUAUUAACAUUCAAAGCUAAACCCAUUUGAGUUGCCCCAGUUGUAUUGACUUGGGACAUUGAAGUAUGAUCCUUCUUAAGGUCUCAUGUUCGAGUCUCCUUGGUGCCAAAUGACGGUGGGCUAAUUUAACUUCUUCGAAAAGACAUACGAUGGCUUGGAGAGGCAAAGGUUUUGUUCCCACAACAUUCAAUUACCUAUUUUUGAUUUGUCUCUUCCCUUAACUCAAUUGGGUGCCGUUCGUUUUUUAGAGUGGUGGCAAAGUUGUUUCUCAAUUGGAUUUUCCAGAAUCAGCCAACACUAUUCAGAACCAGGAAAAUUCAAACCGAAAUUUUUUCUCAAUUGGGAACAGAACUUAUAAACGGGCGAUGGUUGAAAAUUUAAAAAGGGAUUAAGAGCAUUUUUGACAAUUGUGUGUAACUAGAACAAAUCAAAUAGUCUUUGUUUUGGGUUUAUAAUUUCUAAGGUACUCCUAGAUCUACUUGUUCGAAUUCAAUAGCUGAUAGUGCAGGAGAUUAAGAGGUAUCUGUUUCAUCUGAUAGGCCAUAUUUAGCUCUACUAGAAUGAACAUUUGUAAUGUAUACAAUCUGAAUUCUUGAGGAAUAAAUGUCCAAAAAUGAUCAAUAAAAGAAA